rnacentral:pre_miRNA from 1 species
AAUAAACGAAUUUCUGUGUUUUUUUUAGAAUUUUUGUCUCUUCGUCUUAUUUAAAAUUUUUUUAUGAUUAAUUUUUUUAUUGUUACUACAUGAUAAACAUUAAUAGCACUUUACGUCUAACUAAUUUUUUUCAAUCUUUUAAUAAAUUUUUCAAAUAAAACGGAUGGUCAAACAUUCGAUAUACACAUCUGUUAAA